UGAGUAACACGUAUCCAACCUGCCGUCUACUCUUGGCCAGCCUUCUGAAAGGAAGAUUAAUCCAGGAUGGCAUCAUGAGUUCACAUGUCCGCAUGAUUAAAGGUAUUUUCCGGCAGACGAUGGGGAUGCGUUCCAUUAGAUAGUAGGCGGGGUAACGGCCCACCUAGUCAACGAUGGAUAGGGGUUCUGAGAGGAAGGUCCCCCACAUUGGAACUGAGACACGGUCCAA
rnacentral:rRNA from 1 species